UACGGAGGGUGCGAGCGUUAAUCGGAAUUACUGGGCGUAAAGCGCACGCAGGCGGUUUGUUAAGCUAGAUGUGAAAGCCCCGGGCUCAACCUGGGAUGGUCAUUUAGAACUGGCAGACUAGAGUCUUGGAGAGGGGAGUGGAAUUCCAGGUGUAGCGGUGAAAUGCGUAGAUAUCCGGAGGAACAUCAGUGGCGAAGGCGACUCCCUGGCCAAAGACUGGCGCUCAUGUGCGAAAGUGUGGGUAGCGAACAGG
rnacentral:rRNA from 1 species